GCCGGGUGUGGUGGCACACACCUGUAAUCCCAGCUACUCGGGAGGCUGAGGCAGAAGAAUUGCUUGAACUCAGGAGGUGGAGGUUGCAGUGAGCUGAGAUCAUGCCACUGCACUCCUGCCUGGGCGACAGAGAAAGACUCUGUCUCUG
rnacentral:SRP_RNA from 1 species